UCCCCCUUAGCUCAGCGGUAGAGCGCUUCACUAGUAUUUGCAAUAGGCAAUUUGGCUAUGAAGAGGUCAGUCGUUCAAGUCGGCUAGGGGGAA